UACAGAGGGUGCGAGCGUUGUCCGGAAUCACUGGGCGUAAAGGGCGCGUAGGUGGUGGCUUAAGCGUGCGGUGAAAGCUCGGAGCUCAACUCCGAGUCGGCCGUGCGAACUGGGCUCACUGGUGCAUAGUAGAGGCAGGUGGAAUUCCGGGUGUAGCGGUGGAAUGCGUAGAGAUCCGGAAGAACACCGGUGGCGAAGGCGGCCUGCUGGGCUAUGGCUGACACUGAGGCGCGACAGCGUGGGGAGCAAACAGG
rnacentral:rRNA from 1 species